CUUGGCAGCACACGCCUGCAGUGGUGGCCAUCUCCCCAGUGGCACAGCCGCCCUCACAACUAGCUCCACAGUCUGUGGCCAUUCUCCUUUGGCUGCCCCCUUGGGGACUCACCGGCGAGCCUUCCUCCAAGGGGCAGGUGCCAGAUGGAUGYAUUACCAGCAUCAUCUCCUGCAGAGACUGGGUGGCCUGGGUGUGCAGCUGUGCAAGGUGGGACAGGUUGCCUUUUGUCUGGUCUCAGUGCCCAGCCAAGAAGCUGCUUACCCUACCCAGUGCUGCAUGAUGAAAAGCCAAAUAUCACAUCUUCCCUUGCCUGGUCCACAGCCUCCAGUGAAAGCAGUUACAAGACACAAGCAGUUUCAGCAAAACCAGAGAGCUGACAGGAUGAGAUUGUCUUCAAUUUUUGUCUAACGACUUUGAAGCGGUCAUGCCUGCUUGGAAUCAGCUUUCCAGGGCUGUGAGCCAAAAGCAAGAUGUGCCAGGGUGCACGUCACCAAAAUCCUGAGAUGGAAGAGGAGACCAAAGUAACAAGCUUCCUCGCUUGAAAACUGACCUCAGCUGAGCACAAGAAUGCUGUGGUCAGGCAUCAGGAUACAAAACAGGCAGGACACCCCUUCUGGACCAGUUCUGCACAUGAAGCUGGCUCUCUUCUUCUACAGGGUAGGAAGCAAACAUCAUGCAAAUGAGGGAUAAACUAGACCAUUAACCUUGUUGCUCUUCCUCUCCAUCUUUGUCAAGAUUAAUUAGUCUGGAAGCUAUAAC
rnacentral:lncRNA from 1 species